rnacentral:rRNA from 1 species
AGGAAUGUAUAGCAAUAGCUAGUUGCAUCGUCAUAAAGAUGAUGCAAGAUUGACUAUGUUGAAUAAAAUUCUAGGUAGAAUUAUGAUAAUGACAUUAUCUGCCUAUGUGUCUUGACCAAAUUACGUGCCAGCAGUCGCGGUAAUACGUAGAAGACUAGUGUUAUUCAUGUUUAAUCGGUUUAAAGGGUACCUAGACGACAGAUCAAGCUUUCCGUGAAGAAAAGAAAUAGAAAAAAGGACUAAUCUGAUUAGAGUUACUUACGAGGGGGCUUUAAAGUACUGGUGGUGUAGAGAUGAAAUUCUGUCAUACCUCUUUCCAAAAGAAAAAUCAUGGCACAGGUAUAGGCGAAGGCAUCCCCCUAUGUGAUAACUGACGUUGAGGGACGAAGGCUUCAUAUAAUGAACAGGAUUAGAUACCCUAGUAGUGGAAGCAGAAAAUGAUGAAUGUCAUAGAUUAGAUGUCUAAGUUUAUUCUAUAAAUGAAAGUGUAAGCAUUCCACCUCAUGAGUAAUUUGGCAACAUUGGAAUUGAAAUCAUUAGACCGUUUCUGAAACCAGUAGUGAAGUAUGUUGUUUAAUUUGAUGAUCCGCAAAAAACCUUACCACAAUUUGAAUAUUUAUAUUAUUUGUUGUAUUGUUCUUAAUUAUCUUUUUAGAUGAAAAUCUCCCACAAUAUCUAGAUAUAGAUUAUAAAAGAGAUAAAUAAUCAGAUAAGAAAAUUAAUAAUGAGGCAAUGAGAUAUAUUUACAAGCGUUGCACGGCUGUCUUCAGUUAAUGUCGCGAGACUUUGGUUAGAUCCAUUAAAUUAACGUAAACCCUUACUUUAUUUUUAUAUAGAGUUGUUCCCCACUAUAUUGGACUCGAU